UACGGAGGGUGCAAACGUUGCUCGGAAUCAUUGGGCGUAAAGCGCGCGUAGGCGGCGCGGUAUGUCGUGCGUGAAAUCUCCCGGCUUAACUGGGAGGGGCCGUGCGAAACUGCCGGGCUUGAGGUCGGAAGGGGAAAGUGGAAUUCCGGGUGUAGUGGUGGAAUACGUAGAUAUCCGGAGGAACACCAGCGGCGAAGGCGGCUUUCUGGUCCGAUACUGACGCUGAGGUGCGAAAGCGUGGGGAGCGAUCCGG
rnacentral:rRNA from 1 species